CAGGGCGGUGAGGGAGCACCGAGUGCGUCACGUGCGAGGGGGCGGAGACCGCGUCGGGGGCGGGGCCUGAGCGGAGGGAGGCGGGCCUGGGCGGCGGAGAAACACGUGCCGGCUUGGAGGCGAUCCGAGGGCAACCCGCCUAGGAGGGAAGGGCGAUUCACGGAGACACCCGCGCCCCUCGCCGGCCUCGAGCAAGCAGGGCCCACCCCACAGGAAUCCUAUAAAUUAAGUGUGGAAAUACUGUGCGAGGCCAGGGGGUUAGCCACCUGUGGAGAAACAAGCACACGGUGUCCGCACGCAGGGACAGACCGCGGCGAGCACACCACGUGGCGGCACAGAGGCAGGAAGGCGAGCAGACAGAGCCACUUGUGUUGAGCAUGAAAAGCAAGUUGCAGAAGCACGCCUGUGGUGUAAAACAAUUUACACAAAGCUUAAAAUAGCAAACUGAUUAGCCCGUUGUUUAGGGGCAAGUACCUAGGUGGGUGCUGGAGAAUAGAGAAAACCAAGGGCAUGGUUUACCCAGAACUGGAGGUACUGGUGGGCAACAGAGUGAUCUGCAGUGGGUCCGGGUGUGUGUGGCUGGCUGAGUAACGGCUCCUCACAAUGACGAUGCCCACACCCUGAUCUCUGCAGCCCAUGAAUGUGUCGCCUUAUAUGGCAGAAGAGAUUUUGCAGGACCUUCAGAUGGAUUGUCCAGGUGGGCCCCAAAUGUAAUCACAUUUGAAGAGGGACACAGGAGCGUCAAUGUCCCUGUGGAGACAGACAUUGGAGUAGUGCAGCCAGGAGCCAAGGAAUGUUGGCAGCUUCUAAAAGCUGGAAGAGUCGUGGAACUGAUUCUCUCCUGGAGCUUCCAGAAGGAACUGGUCCUGGCUGGUUAUGGCAGGCACAAGACACCCAAACACAACAGCAAUAGGAAACUAUUACAACAUGCAGAGAGCUUUUGGGAAAUGCCACUUCGAUUUGCUAUAGCACUUUCUGCAGUGAAGUAUAACUUGUGUCAGUGUCCUGGGGCCACCAUAACAAAGUGCCCCACGACGGGGGAGCUUCACACAGCAGAGGACAUUAGUGGUGGUCCUAAGGAGUGCUUCGACUGAACGGAGGAGAAAAGAGCCCUGUUUGGCCUGGUGUGACCCUAUCACCAGGGGACCCAUUCCAGCAUCCUACCACCUUCCACUGCCUCCAGGACACGCACGUUUCGUUCUCAAGAAGCGCUGUCUUCAGAAGGGAGAGGGGCUUCAUUCAGCCUGGACCUCUCCCUACACCCCUCCUGGCUGCCAGCGUGGGGAGAUGCCCACCUUGGCCCACCACAGAGUCCCUGGAAUUUGCACUCACGACACACGUUGCUGUUCUUAUAAAAGCAGUCCUAUUAAGCAAAGGCCGUGCUGCAGCCACGACGUAAGUGACGUCUGAAAUCUCACGUUAUCAGGAGCUGAGCAGAGUGCUGACCCCCUUUAUAAA